CGAGCGCCCCGCAGGGGAGCGGCAGACGGGUGAGUAACGCGUGGGAACGUACCUUUUGCUACGGAAUAACUCAGGGAAACUUGUGCUAAUACCGUAUGUGCCCUUCGGGGGAAAGAUUUAUCGGCAAAGGAUCGGCCCGCGUUGGAUUAGCUAGUUGGUGAGGUAAAGGCUCACCAAGGCGACGAUCCAUAGCUGGUCUGAGAGGAUGAUCAGCCACACUGGGACUGAGACACGGCCCAGACUCCUACGGGAGGCAGCAGUGGGGAAUAUUGGACAAUGGGCGCAAGCCUGAUCCAGCCAUGCCGCGUGAGUGAUGAAGGCCCUAGGGUUGUAAAGCUCUUUCACCGGUGAAGAUAAUGACGGUAACCGGAGAAGAAGCCCCGGCUAACUUCGUGCCAGCAGCCGCGGUAAUACGAAGGGGGCUAGCGUUGUUCGGAUUUACUGGGCGUAAAGCGCACGUAGGCGGACUUUUAAGUCAGGGGUGAAAUCCCGGGGCUCAACCCCGGAACUGCCUUUGAUACUGGAAGUCUUGAGUAUGGUAGAGGUGAGUGGAAUUCCGAGUGUAGAGGUGAAAUUCGUAGAUAUUCGGAGGAACACCAGUGGCGAAGGCGGCUCACUGGACCAUUACUGACGCUGAGGUGCG
rnacentral:rRNA from 1 species